rnacentral:lncRNA from 1 species
CUCUCCCUCUCUAUACGUGUGUGUGUGGUGUGUGUGUGCUGUGUUCGGUUGAGGAGGAAGAAGGAAAAAGGAAAUAGGAAAAAGGCCCAUUUUUGUAAGUCAACACCCCUCAACAUUAACAACUUACAACUUAGUCCAGCUCAGUUUUGCAGUUCAGACUCGUCAGAGCCCUUCUAAAUGUCCGUUUGCGCUCAAAUUUGACAAUCAGACUCGUUUUAAACUAAUAAGAAGAAAAAUAUCUUAACUUUUCAGUUUGGAUCAUUUUUUGUCAUCGAAAGCUCUACCGAUUAGAAUCUCUAGCAGAUAGCAGUUAGAUUUUAUUUUUCACUUUUCGGGUAUCGGAAUAACAUGAAACUUUAAAUCUAGCCUCAUAAAAAUAUUUUCGACAUAUUCUCCAAUUUUCGUAACUUUCUGACACUGCGAAUUUUCUACUAAAAUAUUAGCCCCGUUUAUUACAGAAAAUUCUAAAUCUUCUGUUUUCAUUCCAAUUUCAGCACAAGUCGCUUCCGAUUGAUAUUUUACUUUCUAAGUCCAAUAAAUAGUUUCUUACACUAUUUUUAUUUACACUUACUUUUAUAUUAAGAAUCCGAUAUAUCACAUUCCAUCGUAACUUCAUAACUAUAGAAAUUCGGUAUAUUACAUUCUCCCCCCCUUAAAAAGAGUUUCAUCUGCGAAACUUAAACCACGCCUCAAUUUAGCUCCUUGAGCAAUU